rnacentral:rRNA from 3 species
CGUAGGGUGAACCUGCGGAAGGAUCAUUA